rnacentral:rRNA from 1 species
GAAUGCUGACAUAAGUAACGAUAAAGCGGGUGAAAAGCCCGCUCGCCGGAAGACCAAGGGUUCCUGUCCAACGUUAAUCGGGGCAGGGUGAGUCGACCCCUAAGGCGAGGCCGAAAGGCGUAGUCGAUGGGAAACAGGUUAAUAUUCCUGUACUUGGUGUUACUGCGAAGGGGGGACGGAGAAGGCUAUGUUGGCCGGGCGACGGUUGUCCCGGUUUAAGCGUGUAGGCUGGUUUUCCAGGCAAAUCCGGAAAAUCAAGGCUGAGGCGUGAUGACGAGGCACUACGGUGCUGAAGCGACAAAUGCCCUGCUUCCAGGAAAAGCCUCUAAGCAUCAGGUAACAUCAAAUCGUACCCCAAACCGACACAGGUGGUCAGGUAGAGAAUACCAAGGCGCUUGAGAGAACUCGGGUGAAGGAACUAGGCAAAAUGGUGCCGUAACUUCGGGAGAAGGCACGCUGAUAUGUAGGUGAAGCGACUUGCUCGUGGAGCUGAAAUCAGUCGAAGAUACCAGCUGGCUGCAACUGUUUAUUAAAAACACAGCACUGUGCAAACACGAAAGUGGACGUAUACGGUGUGACGCCUGCCCGGUGCCGGAAGGUUAAUUGAUGGGGUUAGCGGUAACGCGAAGCUCUUGAUCGAAGCCCCGGUAAACGGCGGCCGUAACUAUAACGGUCCUAAGGUAGCGAAAUUCCUUGUCGGGUAAGUUCCGACCUGCACGAAUGGCGUAAUGAUGGCCAGGCUGUCUCCACCCGAGACUCAGUGAAAUUGAACUCGCUGUGAAGAUGCAGUGUACCCGCGGCAAGACGGAAAGACCCCGUGAACCUUUACUAUAGCUUGACACUGAACAUUGAGCCUUGAUGUGUAGGAUAGGUGGGAGGCUUUGAAGUGUGGACGCCAGUCUGCAUGGAGCCGACCUUGAAAUACCACCCUUUAAUGUUUGAUGUUCUAACGUGGGCCCCUUACCGGGGUUGCGGACAGUGUCUGGUGGGUAGUUUGACUGGGGCGGUCUCCUCCUAAAGAGUAACGGAGGAGCACGAAGGUUGGCUAAUCCUGGUCGGACAUCAGGAGGUUAGUGCAAUGGCAUAAGCCAGCUUGACUGCGAGCGUGACGGCGCGAGCAGGUGCGAAAGCAGGUCAUAGUGAUCCGGUGGUUCUGAAUGGAAGGGCCAUCGCUCAACGGAUAAAAGGUACUCCGGGGAUAACAGGCUGAUACCGCCCAAGAGUUCAUAUCGACGGCGGUGUUUGGCACCUCGAUGUCGGCUCAUCACAUCCUGGGGCUGAAGUAGGUCCCAAGGGUAUGGCUGUUCGCCAUUUAAAGUGGUACGCGAGCUGGGUUUAGAACGUCGUGAGACAGUUCGGUCCCUAUCUGCCGUGGGCGCUGGAGAACUGAGGGGGGCUGCUCCUAGUACGAGAGGACCGGAGUGGACGCAUCACUGGUGUUCGGGUUGUCAUGCCAAUGGCACUGCCCGGUAGCUAAAUGCGGAAGAGAUAAGUGCUGAAAGCAUCUAAGCACGAAACUUGCCCCGAGAUGAGUUCUCCCUGACUCCUUGAGAGUCCUGAAGGAACGUUGAAGACGACGACGUUGAUAGGCCGGGUGUGUAAGCG